CAGUCGCCGCGGGAAUACAGAGGGUGCGAGCGUUAAUCGGAUUUACUGGGCGUAAAGCGUGCGUAGGCGGCUUCUUAAGUCGGAUGUGAAAUCCCUGAGCUUAACUUAGGAAUUGCAUUCGAUACUGGGAAGCUAGAGUAUGGGAGAGGAUGGUAGAAUUCCAGGUGUAGCGGUGAAAUGCGUAGAGAUCUGGAGGAAUACCGAUGGCGAAGGCAGCCAUCUGGCCUAAUACUGACGCUGAGGUACGAAAGCAUGGGGAGUAAACAGGAUUAGAUACCCCUGUAGUCCCUGUCUCUUAUAA
rnacentral:rRNA from 1 species